GCCUCCAGUGAACGGAUUUAUUUCCUGACUGUUUGUGAUCCUCAGUAGAGUGGCUUAUAUUGCAGAAUCUACUUGUUGAGAUCAAUUUGCUGUAUAUUCUCCCCAAGUGGAGUGGUUUAUUACAGAAUAUAUUUGUUUGAUCUGUCCUCCCUCAGUGGUUUGUUCCCAAGAGAGUAGCCGACAGUUUUCCCCAGUAGAGUUGCUU
rnacentral:lncRNA from 1 species